rnacentral:rRNA from 1 species
UGGGGAAUAUUGCACAAUGGGCGAAAGCCUGAUGCAGCAACGCCGCGUGAGUGAUGAAGGCCUUCGGGUUGUAAAGCUCUGUCUUUUGGGACGAUAAUGACGGUACCAAAGGAGGAAGCCACGGCUAACUACGUGCCAGCAGCCGCGGUAAUACGUAGGUGGCAAGCGUUGUCCGGAUUUACUGGGCGUAAAGGAUGCGUAGGCGGAUUUUUAAGUGAGAUGUGAAAUACCCGGGCUUAACUUGGGUGCUGCAUUUCAAACUGGGAAUCUAGAGUGCGGGAGAGGAGAAUGGAAUUCCUAGUGUAGCGGUGAAAUGCGUAGAGAUUAGGAAGAACACCAGUGGCGAAGGCGAUUCUCUGGACCGUAACUGACGCUGAGGCAUGAAAGCGUGGGUAGCAAAACAGGAUUAGAUACCCUGGUAGUCCACGCCGUAAACGAUGAGUACUAGGUGUAGGAGGUAUCGACCCCUUCUGUGCCGCAGUUAACACAAUAAAGUACUCCGCCUGGGAAGUAACGAUCGCAAGAUUAAAAACUCAAAAGGAAUUGACGGGGUCAAUAGCUG